GCGUUCGUGGUGUAGUGGUCAGCACGAUCGUCGCGUAACCGAGAGGUCCAUGGUUCGAUUCCCGGUGAAGGCG
rnacentral:tRNA from 1 species